GCAGAGGCCCCCCAGGAGGAGAAGGCAGAUGCAGCUCCUGCAGAAGAGGGAGAGGCAGCUCCUGCAGAAGAGGGUAGGCUAAGUCCCAAACGCAGCACUGUCAUGCAGCAUUGUCUUAAAUAAUCACGUUUGUGUGUGUACUGUAUGUUCAUGUGGGUUUCAGUGAUUCUGCAUUUAUUGAAGAGAGCCGAGUCAGAGUAUUAUUGCAGUCACAUUUACAUUAAGUAAAUGUAAACUUCAUGCAUCUUUGUACUUUGCGUUUGAGUGUACUGUCUUCCUAACCUAUCGUAAGUUACCGGUUGUCAGUUCAGUCAGUUGUCUCCUAUCUGUAUUCUGGUCUCUGGUUGGUCU